rnacentral:rRNA from 1 species
GUAGGUGGCAAGCGUUGUCCGGAAUUAUUGGGCGUAAAGCGCGCGCAGGCGGUUCUUUAAGUCUGAUGUGAAAGCCCACGGCUCAACCGUGGAGGGUCAUUGGAAACUGGAGAACUUGAGUACAGAAGAGGAAAGCGGAAUUCCACGUGUAGCGGUGAAAUGCGUAGAGAUGUGGAGGAACGCCAGUGGCGAAGGCGGCUUUCUGGUCUGUAACUGACGCUGAGGCGCGAAAGCGUGGGGAGCAAACAGGAUUAGAUACCCUGGUAGUCCACGCCGUAAACGAUGAGUGCUAAGUGUUAGGGGGUUUCCGCCCCCCUUAGUGCUGCAGCUAACGCAUUAAGCACUCCGCCCUGGGAGUACGGCCGCAAGGCUG